GUAAAACCUUAGCCUUC
rnacentral:tRNA from 4 species